rnacentral:misc_RNA from 1 species
AAGAAACCAGUGGGAGUCUCUACUCUGCAUGUUAUCUUCUGCUGUUCCUGACAAAAGCAAGAUAUAUGAAGUUAAUGGAAAUCCUAUCACGAAGCACAUGGGUUUUUUGAUUUUUAUGUUCAAGGAUUUCAACUGCACUAUUGAGUACUAUAGAGCUCCAUUCCUAGUGUUUCAAGGUCGUCCACCUUCAGGGGCUCCCCGAAAUGUUAAAUUGACUUUGAGAUUGGAUCAGAUGGAUUGGAGCUCUGCUCAAUGGAAAGGAGCAGAUAUUUUGGUAUUCAACAGUGGUCACUGGUGGAUUUAUGAAAAAACUAUUAGAGAGGGAUGUUA